UACGUAGGGUGCGAGCGUUGUCCGGAAUUACUGGGCGUAAAGGGCUCGUAGGCGGCCAACUAAGUCAGACGUGAAAUCCCUCGGCUUAACCGGGGAACUGCGUCUGAUACUGGAUGGCUUGAGUUUGGGAGAGGGACGCGGAAUUCCAGGUGUAGCGGUGAAAUGCGUAGAUAUCUGGAGGAACACCGGUGGCGAAGGCGGCAUCCUGGACCGGUAUUGACGCUGAUGAGCGAAAGCCAGGGGAGCAAACGGG
rnacentral:rRNA from 1 species